rnacentral:rRNA from 1 species
GGCGGCCGUAACUAUAACGGUCCUAAGGUAGCGAAAUUCCUUGUCGGGUAAGUUCCGACCUGCACGAAUGGCGUAAUGAUGGCCAGGCUGUCUCCACCCGAGACUCAGUGAAAUUGAACUCGCUGUGAAGAUGCAGUGUACCCGCGGCAAGACGGAAAGACCCCGUGAACCUUUACUAUAGCUUGACACUGAACAUUGAGCCUUGAUGUGUAGGAUAGGUGGGAGGCUUUGAAGUGUGGACGCCAGUCUGCAUGGAGCCGACCUUGAAAUACCACCCUUUAAUGUUUGAUGUUCUAACGUGGACCCGUAAUCCGGGUUGCGGACAGUGUCUGGUGGGUAGUUUGACUGGGGCGGUCUCCUCCUAAAGAGUAACGGAGGAGCACGAAGGUUGGCUAAUCCUGGUCGGACAUCAGGAGGUUAGUGCAAUGGCAUAAGCCAGCUUGACUGCGAGCGUGACGGCGCGAGCAGGUGCGAAAGCAGGUCAUAGUGAUCCGGUGGUUCUGAAUGGAAGGGCCAUCGCUCAACGGAUAAAAGGUACUCCGGGGAUAACAGGCUGAUACCGCCCAAGAGUUCAUAUCGACGGCGGUGUUUGGCACCUCGAUGUCGGCUCAUCACAUCCUGGGGCUGAAGUAGGUCCCAAGGGUAUGGCUGUUCGCCAUUUAAAGUGGUACGCGAGCUGGGUUUAGAACGUCGUGAGACAGUUCGGUCCCUAUCUGCCGUGGGCGCUGGAGAACUGAGGGGGGCUGCUCCUAGUACGAGAGGACCGGAGUGGACGCAUCACUGGUGUUCGGGUUGUCAUGCCAAUGGCACUGCCCGGUAGCUAAAUGCGGAAGAGAUAAGUGCUGAAAGCAUCUAAGCACGAAACUUGCCCCGAGAUGAGUUCUCCCUGAGACUUAGAGUCUCCUGAAGGAACGUUGAAGACGACGACGUUGAUAGGCCGGGUGUGUAAGCGCAGCGAUGCGUUGAGCUAACCGGUACUAAUGAACCGUGAGGCUUAACCUUACAACGCCGAAG